rnacentral:rRNA from 1 species
UAGGUCGACCCGCUGAAUUUAAGCAUAUCACUAAGCGGAGGAAAAGAAACUAACCAGGAUUCCCCUAGUAACGGCGAGUGAAGAGGGAAUAGCCCAGCACCGAAGCCUGCGGCAGUUUUGCUGUUAGGCAAUGUGGUGUUUGGGUCGGCUCGUGGGAUUGCCACUCCAUUCGAAGUCCAGCAUUGAGUAUGGUUCCCUGGAAUUGGCCCAGAGAGGGUGAAAGGCCCGUACGAAUGGAGGUUCAGACAAGUGAGGCAGUUCACCAGGCCGGCCUUCGAGUCGGGUUGUUUGAGAAUGCAGCCCAAAGUGGGUGGUAAACUCCAUCCAAGGCUAAAUACAAGCACGAAUCCGAUAGCGAACAAGUACCGUGAGGGAAAGUUGAAAAGUACUUUGAAAAGAGAGUAAACAGUACGUGAAACCGCAUAGAGGUAAACGGGUGGCGUCAAGCUGUUAGCCCGAAGGAUUCAGCCGGCAAGUGUGUAGUGUAUGCGCCUGGCGCAUCUCUCAGUCAGAGUAAGCCCUAGCAGUCCACUGGUAAACGGUGGGCCUGGCCUCGGUCAGGAUGUGUGUACCGGGUGGAAGCCGGAGCACGCUGCUGGUCUAUGGACUGGACUUGUCGGUGCACUUCCUUCGUGGUGAACACCACGACCGAUGGGAUUGCCAGUCUGCCUUAGUCAAGUUGUUAGUGACCAGUCUUCGGGCUGGCUGCUAGCAAUCACAGGCGAUGCCGGUGACCGGCGUAGGUUCGCUUCGGUGGGCUUACGUGUUAUCGUUCUCCGCUCGUCAACGGGUCGGUGUUGGGCGGUUGCUCCUGCUCAGUUGCCGGCCUGGUGGACUAUGGUGGUAUGAAUAACUGUGCAAGGCAUCGGAGUUUUCGGUCUCAAAUGCGAGCUGCGUCCAGGUGCAACUGGUUUCAAAACAGCGGCUGCGUCUCAGCCUGCCUAUUCUUGGGUCUGAUUGUCGUGUCGCCUGCGCAAAGUGGGUCCGGCAGUGGCUCGAGGUGGGAUGGAGUUGACGGCGUGGUUGUGUGCGCAGUUCGUGGUGGACCUGACAGUCAGUGGUGUAGUGGUAGACGAGCUACCCGACCCGUCUUGAAACACGGACCAAGGAGUUUAACAUGUAUGCAAGUCAAGGGGUCAUUUACGAAACCCAAAGGCGCAGUGAAAGUGAAGCUUCGACUCGUCUCGGAGUGAGGUGAGAUCCUGUCGUUACUCGCACAUGUCAGUACUAGGCAUAGAGCGGCAGGCGCAUCACCGGCCCGUCCCAUGAUGUGGUUAGCGGACUUCUGCAGUAGCUCUCGGGUUGCUGUGGUGCCGUUACGUCA